UCAGUCAGCCCUGAGGCUCUUGGUUUGUUUCUGGUAGUAAAACUGAUAAAAUUAGUUUUGAGCUCUUUCACACGGGACAACUCCUGUUGCGGCAAUUCUUAGUUUAUAGGAGAGGGGCGAUGAAGAGAGGAGAAUCGCGCCGAGUCUGCUUUGUUCGGCAACACGCUUUGUGUUCUUAAGGUCCAGACCCAAUGCUGGCUGGCUUUACUUGCUUUGCUGUGAGAACUGUCAAAACUGAAUAGAACUAUACUAGAGCAUAUGCAAAGAGACCAAAUGGAGCUUUGCUUCAAGCGCUUGAAGUUACGAAUAGGUCUAUGCUCUAUUUGCCAGCGCUUCUGGCGCUUUUGACAUUUGAUAUUGUAACUAGGGUUACCAGUUUGGGUGAAAUGUACCAAUUUCAGUAAUUUUUUUGAUGCUACAUUGGCACUCAAAUAUUUAUCACAUAUGCGUUUGCCAGUACAAAUAGUUAAAAUGUAGAAUAUUUAAAAUAUUUGAUAUAUGUAUGUAGAAAUUUACAAAGAGUUUAUAAUAAUAUAACAUUUAACAUGAAAAUAUUAGCAAGUUUAAGUGUGUGGCAACAGUGAUUGUGACAUUAUUUUGAAAGCGUUCAAAGCGCUCAUUUGGUCAUACAAACAUUCAAAGUACGCAAAGUCAACGAAAGCAAGUAAAGCCAGCCAGCAUUGGGUCUGGACCUUUAUUCGUAACAGUAAGCUGCUACCUUCUUUAGUUUUGAUAAAAUAUAACCAAAACUAUUUGACCCAGAAGUGUGCAAACCUGAUGACGCGCAGUGUACAUUGGGAGUACGCGUACAUGCGCGAGUGCGCGUAAGAAGCGAUGUCGUAUAUUAGAAGGAGAUUAGUUGGAACUCAAGAAUUAAUUGCUUCACGGCCAAACACCAUCGAUAGGCAUGAUAUUACUGCCAGCGUUUUUAAGCAAAAAUUAAAAUCUUUAGUGAAUGUCAUUAUAAAGUAUCGUGUACAUGGCCAAAUACGUUGUUGGAUGGAUUCCACGACAAAUUAAUACAAGUAGUGAACAGUGGAUCUGCUGGGUUUUACUUUCUCGAUGCUUUCGGGGUACUGGAAAAAACGUUACUUAUUUCAUUGCUAUUGGCAAAGGCUCGAUCGCAAAGUGAGGUAGCUCUAGCGUUGGUUUCAUCUGGAGUGUUUCUACAAUAAGAUAAAACUGCGAUUUUGUUAUCGAAGCAGUUGCGAGAUAUUAUCAACCUCGACUAGAUUAAUAACAUUUCGCUCAGAUUUCUGUCACUUCACAGACUCGAAAGAGGAGCUUAUUCAGCGGACAUAAAAUCAAUAAAUAAGAAAGCAAGUCGCUGCAAGGCAAGUCGCGGCUAUAUAUUUGUAUCAAAUUUUUCGUAUACAUAUUUCAAGCAGAUAUUAUAGUAAAAUUUUCAUCUGCAAUAUCAACCACCUAAUAAUGUCAAAGACAGGCGGAUGGACAGACAGACGACCGGUGAUACCAACAACAGUUUGGUGAAAAAACUAUUAUACGGUGUGCAACAUUUGUCUUGAAAUUAACAAUAAUUACUUAGCCAAAUUUUGAAACGAUUACAAUCAACCAGUAUGAUGAAAUCAUAUACAUAUAGUUUGUAUAGAGGAUUAAGGAAUGUUUGGCGCUAUUAAUUAAUUCUUUUUACCAAUAAAUCAUUUCUUUACCUAGAUGAAAUUCAAUA